UACGGGGGGGGCAAGCGUUGUUCGGAAUUACUGGGCGUAAAGGGCGCGUAGGCGGUGCUCUAAGUCGGAUGUGAAAACUCUGGGCUCAACCCAGAGCCUGCAUCCGAAACUGGGGUGCUAGAGUUCUGGAGGGGAUAGCGGAAUUCCUGGUGUAGCGGUGAAAUGCGUAGAGAUCAGGAAGAACAUCGGUGGCGAAGGCGCUCUGCUGGACCAUAACUGACACUCAGGGACGAAAGCUAGGGGAGCGAAUGGG
rnacentral:rRNA from 1 species